rnacentral:rRNA from 1 species
GUCUAUGGCCAUGCCGCCCUAAACAAGCCUGAUUCCGUCUGAUCUCGGAAGCUAAGCAGGCUCAGGCCUGGUCCGUACUUGGAUGGAAGACCACCUAGGAAGACCAGGUGCUAUAGGCA